rnacentral:rRNA from 1 species
GGUCUGAGAGGAUGACACCACACUGGGACUGAGACACGGUCCAGACUCCUACGGGAUGCAGCAGUGGGGAUUUUUCCGCAGUGGGCGAAAGCGUGACGGAUCUAGACCGCGUGGGGGAUGAGGGUUUUUGGAUCAUAUUCCUCUUUUGUCAAAAAAAAAUUUCUGACGGUACGUGACUAAUAAUCCUCGGCUAACUCCGUGCCAGCAGCCUCGGUAAUACGGAGGAGGCAAUCGUUAUCCGGAAUGAUUGGGCGUAAAGCGUCUGUAGGCUCCAUCUAAUGCUGCUGUUAAAGAUCACUUUUCAGCUGUGAGAAUGCGGAGGAAGCUGUCAAACAAGAUGCUGGUAGGGGUAAAGGUAAUUCCCGGUGUAGCGGGAGAAUGAUUAAAUAUCAAGAAGAACGCCGGUGGCGAAAGCUCUUUGCUGGUCCAGACCUUACACUGAAGGACGAAAACUAGGGGAAAGAAGGAU